AAACAUGUCAGCCAUUAGACAAUCCUAAAAAAGCUCAUUUAUUUUAACAGAAGCAAAAAGAAAUUCAAACAAUUAAAAGAAAAACAAAAAACACAAAAAUAAAUCAACAAAAGAUAAAUCCUAAACUAUGAUUCUCCUCCCCCACACUUAAAUCACACAUUGUCCUCAAUGUAAAAUCAAUAAAUAAAUGUGUAUAAUAAAAGUGAGAGAAGAAGUACUCCCUCAUUCAGCUUGAGGGAAGUGGCAGUCGCAGCUGUUUCAACCAUCC
rnacentral:lncRNA from 1 species